rnacentral:rRNA from 1 species
UACAGAGGUCUCAAGCGUUGUUCGGAUUCAUUGGGCGUAAAGGGUGUGUAGGUGGCGCGCUAAGUCGGGUGUGAAAUUUCGGAGCUUAACUCCGAAACUGCAUUCGAUACUGGCGUGCUUGAGGACUGGAGAGGAGACUGGAAUUCAUGGUGUAGCAGUGAAAUGCGUAGAGAUCAUGAGGAAGACCAGUGGCGAAGGCGGCAUCCUGGACCGAUAUUGACGCUGAGGCGCGAAAGCCAGGGGAGCAAACGGG